AGAGCUCAGAGCAGAGCUGGGCUCCCACAGGCCACUGGGCCAUUGACUUGGCAAACCCUCAAACUUCUCCGCUUUGAGGUUAAGCAGAAGUGCAGAACGAAAUCUUUGUGCUCUCUACUUCUCUUAUCGCUGCGUAGAUAUGUCGCUGGAUUCUCAUAUAGAGAGGGUGCUAUGGACCAAGUUCCAAAUCUCUAAACGAGUCACAGUGAUUGCAUCUGAAAUCACCAAUGAUUUUACCUCGAUUUCUCCUCCUCCGGUGAUAGUGGGCGUGGCUACCGGCGCUUUCUUGUUCUUGGCUGACUUGGUCAGGCAAAUACAGUUGCCUGUUUCCGUUGAUUUUAUUCGCGCCGAAUCCUACGGUUCCGGCACCAAGUCCACCGGUGCCCCCACUAUUUCCAUGGACUUGAAGCUCAAUGUUGAAGGCAAACAUGUCAUCCUGGUAAUACUACCCUCCACUAUUCCUAUUUAUUUAUCUACAGAGCAAUCUCUUGUGGAAAAAAUUUCCCUGAGUACUCAUUUGGUUUUCCAUGGAAAAGGAGUACUACUGUAGAAAUUAGGUCCUUAGACUAACAGUAGCAAUUAGCUCUCAGAACUUCAGCAGGCCAAAUGAAGAAGUUGCAAGUAGUUUUAUAUUGCCCAAAUGAAGUGGCUUCCUCUUCCAUGUAGUAGUUCUCAGAACUUCUGCAGGCAAGAUGAAAAAGUUGCAAAUAGUUUAUGUAGCCCAAAAGAAGGGCUUUUCUCUUUUCUGCAAUUUUUGGUGUAGAUAGAGAGAUAGGCUUUGGAUUCUGUACAAUUAUUGGAGUGUUACUGUUUUUUUGGAGUGAUCAUAUCUUUUAUGAUGAGCUUGUCUCAGGUUGAGGAUAUUGUAGACACAGGAAGCACUUUAUCCAGUCUCAUUGCACACUUGAAAUCCAAGGGAGCUUCCUCUGUUUCUGUUUGCUCUUUCCUUGAUAAGCCAGCAAGAAGGAAAGUCCAUUUUGAACUAGUGGGUGAUGGAAAGUACUACCUAGGUUUUGAGGUAUGCUCUCUUUCUCGCCACGUUUGUGCACUACAUUGACAGAAAGAAACUAUGGUCUAAUCUCCCAUUAUGGAAAGAUUGGACUGGCAGAAACUCCUCUGAUUUAAUUCUGUGUAGCAUUUUUCUUUGUAAUUUCAAAACACUAGAACAAUGGGCACUAAUAUUCAAUCAAAUAGCAACUAUUUCCUUGAAAUAUGAUAGGACUCCUCAGCCUGGUCAUGAACAUUUCUUUCUUGCCAAUUGGGUGCAAUUCUCACUUCUAGUAUUUCAUAUGAACAGUCCAUUCUAAUUUUCUACUAUGGAAAACAUGUAUCAUAUUUGUCACUGGUUUCUUCUAAUCAUGCAUGACUCUUAACACAUGUUUGUUCUGUGGUUCUUGCUUCUUUAUCGCAAUCUUGACUACAUUUUCAGAAGUAUUUAAGAGUGGUAUUUUUGCUCAAUUGUCCUAUAGCUUAGCAAAAGUCUUCCAGUUAUUGUUAUGAAUGGCUCUGCAGAAACUAUAUUUUUCAAUUUUCAUCUGCAAAUUCAAAGCUUUCUGCCCUAAAAACUGUCUUUUUUUUUUGCUGAAAUAAUCUUAGUUCUAAAUUUAUCUGGCCUGCUUUGAUAAUUGAUAGAAAUGGAUGAUUUGUUGCUUUCCUGGACUCUGAUCCUGGGGUAAAUGUUGGAUUCAUAGACAGAUUACCAGGCUUUGUACCAGGCUUUGACAACUUUCAUAAAAACCAUCUACCCAUAGGCUCUAAAAUUUACUUGAUGACUCUAGGAACAUUCAACUAAGA
rnacentral:misc_RNA from 1 species